rnacentral:rRNA from 1 species
GAAUCUACGGGGCGCAGCAGUGGGGAAUAUUGCACAAUGGGGGAAACCCUGAUGCAGCGACGCCGCGUGAGUGAAGAAGUAUUUCGGUAUGUAAAGCUCUAUCAGCAGGGAAGAAAAUGACGGUACCUGACUAAGAAGCCCCGGCUAACUACGUGCCAGCACCCGCGGUAUUACGUAGGGGGCAAGCGUUAUCCGGAUUUACUGGGUGUAAAGGGAGCGUAGACGGCGGAAAAAGUCAGAAGUGAAAACCGGGGGCUCAACCCUGGGAGUGCUUUUGAAACUGU